rnacentral:piRNA from 1 species
ACAUGGUUCCUCUGUGAUGUAGC